rnacentral:lncRNA from 1 species
UAAAAUACAAAAUACAGGGAAAUUCAAAAGGCAAAGAGAGAGGGAAGAAUAACACUGAUAUCCAGAAAGUAGCUGCAAGUCUUGAAGCAGUCCCUGAUUGCCUUUGGUCCUAAUGUACAGCCAGAUCCCUUUAUUAGGUUGUCUAAGAAUGUCAAGUGGUGAAGGGGUGUAAGAUAAAGAGAUUUUGUGGAGGAAAGGUCUGUGAUGGAGUGGAAUGGAAUUGGAGUGGGAAUAACUUUCUGGAAAAGUUGAUUAGCAUGUGGAAGGUUCUCAUUGUCUGCAACACUUGGUUCUAUAUAGUUUCCAUGACCUUGAAAUUAGCAAUAUUGCACCAUUGCUCCUAGGGGAAGUGCAGGGUUAGGUUACCUUUUUGGUCAAAUGGUCAAUACAUAACUUUGUAUUAUGGCAUUUCAGAUGAAAAAUAUCUUAUUUAGUAUAUGCUGUUGAGUCAUUAACAUUAAACUUACUGUCAGUAAGGACUAUGACUCAUACCUGAAUGAAGCUUAUCUACCAUGUGCUUUUUCACUGUAAGGCACAGCACAAGUUUCUUGCACUUAAAAAUGCCAGAGAACACUUCAGCUGUGGGACUGGAGCUUGCUUGAUGAUCCAUUUAAAUAGCAAAAUCACCAACAGAAAGCAGAAAAAUGUGAAUAACACAACAUUAAAUAGAUCAUGAAAAGGACACUUGUUUAUGGUGUGAGAGCUGAAAUAAGAGAGUGUUUGACCUCAGCUGGGAACAUGUAUAUUUCAAAUUUUUCACAGCUCUGCAGAUCUGUGAAUGACUACACUAACACUGCAUACUGAUUUGGUUUUGAAUAUGCAAAUUUGCAAAUAUAGAAUCUAUGAAUGGUGGAUAUUGACUGUAAUAAUAGUGCUGUUUAUUGAAUGCUUGUGAUAUGCCAGAAUUUUUUCUGAAGCUUG